CAUAGGUGCAAGAGGCGAACCAGGGGAACUGAAACAUCUAAGUACCCUGAGGAAAAGAAAUCAACCGAGAUUCCCUUAGUAGUGGCGAGCGAACGGGGACUAGCCCUUAAGUGGCUUUGAGAUUAGCGGAACGCUCUGGAAAGUGCGGCCAUAGUGGGUGAUAGCCCUGUACGCGAAAAUCUCUUAGUCAUGAAAUCGAGUAGGACGGAGCACGAGAAACUUUGUCUGAAUAUGGGGGGACCAUCCUCCAAGGCUAAAUACUACUGACUGACCGAUAGUGAACUAGUACCGUGAGGGAAAGGCGAAAAGAACCCCGGAGAGGGGAGUGAAAUAGAUCCUGAAACCGUAUGCGUACAAGCAGUGGGAGCCUACUUUGUUAGGUGACUGCGUACCUUUUGUAUAAUGGGUCAGCGACUUAUUUUCAGUGGCGAGCUUAACCGAAUAGGGGAGGCGUAGCGAAAGCGAGUCUUAAUAGGGCGUCUAGUCGCUGGGAAUAGACCCGAAACCGGGCGAUCUAUCCAUGGGCAGGUUGAAGGUUGGGUAACACUAACUGGAGGACCGAACCGACUACCGUUGAAAAGUUAGCGGAUGACCUGUGGAUCGGAGUGAAAGGCUAAUCAAGCUCGGAGAUAGCUGGUUCUCCUCGAAAGCUAUUUAGGUAGCGCCUCAUGUAUCACUGUAGGGGGUAGAGCACUGUUUCGGCUAGGGGGUCAUCCCGACUUACCAAACCGAUGCAAACUCCGAAUACCUACAAGUGCCGAGCAUGGGAGACACACGGCGGGUGCUAACGUCCGUCGUGAAAAGGGAAACAACCCAGACCGUCAGCUAAGGUCCCAAAGUUAUGGUUAAGUGGGAAACGAUGUGGGAAGGCUUAGACAGCUAGGAGGUUGGCUUAGAAGCAGCCACCCUUUAAAGAAAGCGUAAUAGCUCACUAGUCGAGUCGGCCUGCGCGGAAGAUGUAACGGGGCUCAAACCAUACACCGAAGCUACGGGUAUCACGUAAGUGAUGCGGUAGAGGAGCGUUCUGUAAGCCUGUGAAGGUGAGUUGAGAAGCUUGCUGGAGGUAUCAGAAGUGCGAAUGCUGACAUGAGUAACGACAAUGGGUGUGAAAAACACCCACGCCGAAAGACCAAGGUUUCCUGCGCAACGUUAAUCGACGCAGGGUUAGUCGGUCCCUAAGGCGAGGCUGAAAAGCGUAGUCGAUGGAAAACAGGUUAAUAUUCCUGUACUUCUGGUUAUUGCGAUGGAGGGACGGAGAAGGCUAGGCCAGCUUGGCGUUGGUUGUCCAAGUUUAAGGUGGUAGGCUGAGAUCUUAGGUAAAUCCGGGAUCUUAAGGCCGAGAGCUGAUGACGAGCUAACUUUUAGUUAGCGAAGUGGUUGAUGCCAUGCUUCCAAGAAAAGCUUCUAAGCUUCAGGUAACCAGGAACCGUACCCCAAACCGACACAGGUGGUUGGGUAGAGAAUACCAAGGCGCUUGAGAGAACUCGGGUGAAGGAACUAGGCAAAAUGGCACCGUAACUUCGGGAGAAGGUGCGCCGGUGAGGGUGAAGGACUUGCUCCGUAAGCUCAUGCCGGUCGAAGAUACCAGGCCGCUGCGACUGUUUAUUAAAAACACAGCACUCUGCAAACACGAAAGUGGACGUAUAGGGUGUGACGCCUGCCCGGUGCCGGAAGGUUAAUUGAUGGGGUUAGCUAACGCGAAGCUCUUGAUCGAAGCCCCGGUAAACGGCGGCCGUAACUAUAACGGUCCUAAGGUAGCGAAAUUCCUUGUCGGGUAAGUUCCGACCUGCACGAAUGGCGUAACGAUGGCGGCGCUGUCUCCACCCGAGACUCAGUGAAAUUGAAAUCGCUGUGAAGAUGCAGUGUAUCCGCGGCUAGACGGAAAGACCCCGUGAACCUUUACUAUAGCUUUGCACUGGACUUUGAAUUUGCUUGUGUAGGAUAGGUGGGAGGCUUUGAAGCGUGGACGCCAGUUCGCGUGGAGCCAUCCUUGAAAUACCACCCUGGCAACUUUGAGGUUCUAACUCAGGUCCGUUAUCCGGAUCGAGGACAGUGUAUGGUGGGUAGUUUGACUGGGGCGGUCUCCUCCUAAAGAGUAACGGAGGAGUACGAAGGUGCGCUCAGACCGGUCGGAAAUCGGUCGUAGAGUAUAAAGGCAAAAGCGCGCUUGACUGCGAGACAGACACGUCGAGCAGGUACGAAAGUAGGUCUUAGUGAUCCGGUGGUUCUGUAUGGAAGGGCCAUCGCUCAACGGAUAAAAGGUACUCCGGGGAUAACAGGCUGAUACCGCCCAAGAGUUCAUAUCGACGGCGGUGUUUGGCACCUCGAUGUCGGCUCAUCACAUCCUGGGGCUGAAGCCGGUCCCAAGGGUAUGGCUGUUCGCCAUUUAAAGUGGUACGCGAGCUGGGUUUAGAACGUCGUGAGACAGUUCGGUCCCUAUCUGCCGUGGACGUUUGAGAUUUGAGAGGGGCUGCUCCUAGUACGAGAGGACCGGAGUGGACGAACCUCUGGUGUUCCGGUUGUCACGCCAGUGGCAUUGCCGGGUAGCUAUGUUCGGAAUAGAUAACCGCUGAAAGCAUCUAAGCGGGAAACUAGCCUCAAGAUGAGAUCUCACUGGAACCUUGAGUUCCCUGAAGGGCCGUCGAAGACUACGACGUUGAUAGGUUGGGUGUGUAAGCGCUGUGAGGCGUUGAGCUAACCAAUACUAAUUGCCCGUGAGGCUUGACCAUAUAACACCCAAGCAAUU
rnacentral:rRNA from 1 species